CCAUAUUUUUAACCAAUCCUCCUAUCUUAAUCGACAUCUAACACGGUUGUUUGUAUAUGCAGAUCCCUUCGAGCUCCGGUGCGCACAACCUCAUCCACCAAAGAUAGAGUUUGAUGUCGUCCACCACAAUACACAUGGAUGGCGCCCCUGCCCGCCUGCUACGCGUCGGCAGCACCCACAACGCCUCCCAGGUCCCCGGCAUCGGUUUCGCCUGACCACGUAGAAGCGCAUGGACAGUGUCAGUGCUCCUCUGUGCCACGCAUCGAUUUCUUCCGGACAUCCACUUCCAACGGCCAGCAUCGGCUUUGGCCGGCAGCGGAUGCCCUCCACAACCACCCCGCGCCCGUCACAUCUCCUCCUAGGAUCUUGCUGCUACUCCUCGUCUAGCCCCUCCUUCCUUUGCUUCGGCAUGGAGCCUGAUGAGCCGUUCAGCGUGUCUUGAAGUGGUAGAGUAAGAAUAGGUACAAAAUCCGCCUGAAUGAUUCACGGCCGGUCUAACUGCUCCCCACGGCAAGAGAUUAAGUCCCAGAACUAAGGUGAGGUUAUUCUGUUAAAAGUAAAUAAAAUUGUAUACUUGAUUUGCUGCCCACAUUUUACAUGUAAGGAACCGUUGAUUUGGGAUCCAUCUCGAUGGCCCAUAAGAUAAAUCAUCUCACCCUACCAUGAUUAAGUACCGCGUGCUUUUGUAGUUUUAUCUGUUCCACGCUUAACAUGGCCAUUAUUAGCCUCUAUUCCCAGAACGUUUGUAGUUUCUAGACCUAUUUUUUAUUCUGCAAAUCAUAUUUUUGUCAAUGUUUCUAGAGAGCAGGAACAUGCCUUUUCAACUGAUAAUUUGGUAUCUCUAAACCUUUAGUACCAAUCCUGCUUACUGAAUGGCUUCAAAUUCAAACAAGCUUUGAAGCCCUGGAUCCGAACGAGCCACACAAUUUGUUGUUUCUAUAUUAAGCAUUUGAAAGUUCAGGUGGUGCUAUCUUCUAUUUUUAGUUACUCAUGUGUUCUCAACAUAUUUUGGAAUAAUCAAAAUAUAUUGAUGUUGCAGUUUACUUUUGUCUAGAUUAUGGGGUAAAAAAGCUUUUGUAUGGAUUAGUUCUUUUCCAAUGAUUCUCAUGUUUAAUGUUGUGAGUUACUUCCAUAUAUGUGCACACCCGAGAGUGUUGACAAGUAUAGGUCUGAACAGUUGAAGGAAGAUGAUACAACAAUAGUUGAAGGAAGUUCAACCUAUUUUUCCAUCCAAUUCUCAUUAGUCUUCCAUGGACCUAAAAAUAUUACUAUGAAACAAGAUACAUAUUGUUUAAAAGUUGCCAAAAUUCGAGUGGAUAAACAUUAGGGCUCAUCACUCCUUAUGUUUGCUAACCUCUAUCUUAAAUCUAUUUCCUUGUGAGUUUUAUUUUUUAUCUACGGUGGUUGUACUCUCGACUGCGAAUUUACCUAUCUAUAUAAGUAAGAACAUAACCUCUAAUUAUCCUUACAGAUUGUUAUUCUUUGAUUCCUAUGGAUUGCUUCCAUUUUACACCUUUAAUCUAAUUAAUUAUGUUCAGCUUUGCGGAAUCAGUAAGAUUUACUUCACCAUUCUCUCUUCAUUGUUACAUUUGUUCGCUUUACGUACAUGUCGUUGUUUUGUAACACGUUAUCCUGACUUCCCAAACCAUGACUAUUACAUAAUUGCAAUAUUAACUAGAGUAGAAUAUUGAAUGGAUAUAGUAUGCUUAUGGACUGCCAUGUUCAACUAUUGACCAGAAGUUCAUCAUCGUGGUAAGUUUAAAAGCUUUCUCCCUUGACUGGUCUUGCCUUAUUAAGUCAAAAUUGGUUCGCCUUUUUAUUUCAUCAUGAAACUUAUUUUUAUGCAAAUUGUUGUACAAACAUUGCCUUAACUAACUACACCAGGCUUUGGUUUUUAUAUGCAGAAAUUAUGGUACAAACUGAAUUGGCAUGUUCUGUUCUCACUCUCAUCAACUCUUGCACACUAUUUUUUUCACUUUUCAAGUCCCAGUGCUCUGUUUCUAUUAAUGGAGGUGAUUGUUUGUUGUCUUCGCGCGAUGAAGAUAAACAGUGAGCUACGAGCCUACGAUGUGGGCAACUAAGAAUUGCUACCACCUCUGAAACAAAUCUCCAAGGCCUAUUUGAUUUGCGGUA